UUUAUCAACCUUUGUUUCGUAGCCCCCGUACAUUCUGAUACACAAGGGAGAGAAAAGAAUGACUAAUUGAUAAUGAGUGAUAUAAAAAGGUGUUCUAAGAAGGUGCAAUAAAGUACAAGAAUGGGUUUGGUUUUUGUAUGUUUUGCCGUUUUUCUUUUAGGUAGAAGUUGCGCACCUACUAAUUAUGAAAAAAAUCCCGCUCAACAAUGGUUUAGAACUCUAUCACGAAAUGGGUGGAGAGGUGUUCAAAAGGUUCCUGUUCAAGAAUGGUUUAGAAAACAAGUACAAAAUCCUUCAAGAGAUGCUCAAGACGCACCGAAUACUGUUGACGAAGAGUUUACAGAUGAAGCACGAGGCCCAGAUGAUGGAAUCCCGUCUCUUCGAAAUACUUCUAAUUUAUAUUUAGGCGGUUUUCAGCUUUUACAGCUACGCAUACCUCAGAUUGGUGAUAUCAUUGAAAUAAUUCGAAAUUUCGUCAAGCUGGCUGCUCAAACCUUUAAUGCCGUGGCACCUUUGCUCUCACGUGGUUUGAAACUACUUUUAAAAACGUUUAUUCCGGAAAUUGGUGAUGUUGUUAAAGGAGUAGGCAAUUUAGCUUCAUUGGCACAAACUGGGGCAAGUAAUUUAUUACCAAAAGGUGUACCUUUGCUUUCAUAGGGUUUAUAAGAACGAUACAAUUAGUACGACAUAAGUACCUAAGAUUUGUAUUUGAAAAAUAAAUCCAGUCACUAUCAUAAAA